UACGUAGGGGGCAAGCGUUGUCCUGAUUUAUUGGGCGUAAAGAGCGUGUAGGCGGCUAGGUAGGUCCGUUGUGAAAACUCGAGGCUCAACCUCGAGCUGUCGAUGGAAACCAUCUGGCUAGAGUCCGGAAGAGGAGAGUGGAAUUCCUGGUGUAGCGGUGAAAUGCGCAGAUAUCAGGAAGAACACCCGUGGCGAAGGCGGCUCUCUGGUACGUGACUGACGCUGAGACGCGAAAGCGUGGGGAGCGAACAGG
rnacentral:rRNA from 1 species